GGGCGAAUGGUUUAGUGGUAUAAUACUCCCUUAGCAUGUUCGCUCCUCCGAGCCCAUCAUUGGGAGUGGUCCAGGGUUCGAUUCCCUGUUCGUCCA
rfam:Fusarium graminearum chromosome 2, complete genome